CUCCGGGUCUAAUUACACUGGCCCCGGAAAUGAUCAAAUCAAACACAGUUCCACCAACCCGUCGUCUAGGCUAAUUGCUAAUUACAAAACGUUAACCCAUGCAGCUCUAUACUGGCAUUGCUGAUUAUCUGUUGUCUGAUUAGUUCCAACUAAUUUACUUUCUUUCUUUCUUUAGGUGUAAUGGAGGCUCUAUCCUCUUAGCACUUUGUCACCGGUUGAGAGGGUCCUACAGCGUUCCAUUAGCGGAUUACAGAGUCACUAGCGUUGGCUGACAGCAUUCGGGGAAGGUGACAUGCAGCUGUGUAACAAUCAUCCGUCACGCCCCGACGGACUGAGUGACGUCCGUCUACACGCACACAGGGAGGAAAAGACCACAGCAAUGGUUAUGGAACAGAAGAAACUCGAUUUGGCGAGCCUCCCACUGUCUCCUCUCGUGAUGCUUCAAAGAAUAACGCAAUAGAGAAAGAAAGGUUGGGGGAAGUCAUGCUUACUGGGAUAAUAUGCUUUCGUCCUCACUCCUUGGACAGUAUUCAAUGGGGUAUGAUAAAUCCCUCGUCUAAAUUGGAAAGCCCACACAGAUUUAUCAGUGCAUGGAAUCUGUUUUUACCGCCCCAAGAGAUAUGCAAAGACAACAUGGCAUGCAAUGGCGUGCAUGCAAGUGGGAUAUAAAAUAAGAGUAUUGAUUAAGCUUGUUGAACCCUGCACCCAUCUAAUUGUUGAAGCAUUGUCAUCAAAUAAACCAAAACAUACUU